rnacentral:rRNA from 1 species
GACGAACGCUGGCGGCGUGCUUAACACAUGCAAGUCGAGCGGAAAGGCCCUUCGGGGUACUCGAGCGGCGAACGGGUGAGUAACACGUGAGUAACCUGCCCCAGACUUUGGGAUAACCCUCGGAAACGGGGGCUAAUACCGGAUACGACACAGCUUCGCAUGGGGUCUGUGUGGAAAGUUUUUCGGUUUGGGAUGGGCUCGCGGCCUAUCAGCUUGUUGGUGGGGUGAUGGCCUACCAAGGCGACGACGGGUAGCCGGCCUGAGAGGGCGACCGGCCACACUGGUACUGAGACACGGCCCAGACUCCUACGGUAGGCAGCAGUGGGGAAUAUUGCACAAUGGGCGGAAGCCUGAUGCAGCGACGCCGCGUGAGGGAUGACGGCCUUCGGGUUGUAAACCUCUUUCAGCAGGGACGAAGCGUAAGUGACGGUACCUGCAGAAGAAGCGCCGGCCAACUACGUG